GUUGUCUUCAUUCCUAAAAUUCCACCAAAAUCAUUCCCCCAAAAUCAAAAUAGCCCCAACCUCAACAAUCCGGUCCCGACUCCCUCAACAAUUUGGUCCCAAGAUCUUAUUCACCCACGUGAGUCUCUCCAAGGACAACAAUCUGGCUUGAACAUCCACUACGACAACAAUCCAAUUAUCAUCCAACAAGAAAUCUGGCUACCUCACCAAAGCCCGACUUUAGCCAUCUCCAAGUCGACAAAGAAUCAAAGAAAUCUAUGUACCUAUCCUGAUGACAGACAAAGGAAAAGAGCUAAUGGAAGAUGAGAAUGAUGUUUUGUUCACGGAGUGUGAUCUGGAGAAUGUUAUGGACGAUGUAAAUGUAGUCGAAAAUGAAAAGUUAUGAGGAGAUGCUCCGACUGUACCCCGAGGUGGGUAUGAUGUUUAACAGUUUUAAAGAGAUGUUAGAGUUCUACAAAAGAUAUGCUUAUAGCGUAGGUUUUCCGGUUAGGAAAAGAAAUUCGAAGAAGGGAGAUGACGGAGUUCUGCGGUAUGUGACUUUGUCAUGUGGUCGUGAAGGCCGAAGAAGUUAUGCUACAAGCGGUUUGUUGAAGCUGCACCCAACAAGUUAGACAGAUUGUAAGACAAGGAUAUCUGCAUCUUUGGAUAAUCUUGGAGUAUGGAGAAUUAACAAAAUGCACCUUGACCACAAUCAUAAAAAGUCUAGAUUAUUUCAAUGCAAUCGAGAAUUUAGUGCAAGUGUAAAAAGAAAGCUUGAGGAGAAUGACAUGGCUGGAAUUCCGUUGCACAAGAGUUACAACUCUGCAGUGGUGGAAGCUGGUGGAUAUGAGAGAAUGACUUGCAUAAAGAAGGAUUGUCAAAAUUAUAUUGAACAAGUGAGACGAUUAUGACUUGGAGAGGGAGAUGCCGCUGCAAUACAAUCCUAUUUUUCAAAAAUGCAAGCACGGUGUCCGGGAUUUUAUUUCAUUAUGGAUGUAGAUGAAGAGUCGCGACUUAAGAACGUCUUCUGGGUAAAUAAUAGAUGUAGGCAAGUGUACAAAGAAUUUGGCGAUGUUGUCACAUUUGAUACUACGUAUCUCAUUAAUAAGUAUGAUAUGUCUUUCGCGCCUUUUGUUGGUGUAAAUCACUACGGACAA